rnacentral:rRNA from 1 species
AGCAGCCGCGGUAAUUCCAGCUCCAAUAGCGUAUAUUAAAGUUGUUGCAGUUAAAAAGCUCGUAGUUGAAUUUCGGGGUUCUACCGUCGGUCGGGCUAACAAGUCUGUACUGGUGUGUAGAACUUCUACCUUCUGGGGAACCAUCAUGUUAUUAAUUUAGCGUGGUAGGAAACCAGGACCUUUACCUUGAAAAAAUUAGAGUGUUCAAAGCAGGCUUAAGUCUGAAUACAUUAGCAUGGAAUAAUAGAAUAGGACGGUGGUCCUGUUUUGUUGGUUUCUGAAUCACCGUAAUGAUUAAUAGGGAUAGUUGGGGGCAUUAGUAUUCAAUUGUCAGAGGUGAAAUUCUUGGAUUUAUUGAAGACUAACUUCUGCGAAAGCAUUUGCCAAGGAUGUUUUCAUUAAUCAAGAACGAAAGUUAGGGGAUCGAAGACGAUCAGAUACCGUCGUAGUCUUAACCAUAAACUAUGCCGACUAGGGAUCGGACGAUGUUAAAUUUUAUUGACUCG